rnacentral:rRNA from 1 species
GUCUUCUUGACUGGAUAAUAAGAAGUCUGACCUGCCCAGUGAAAAAAUUAUUUAACGGCCGCGGUAUUUUGACCGUGCAAAGGUAGCAUAAUCAUUAGUCUUUUAAUAGAGGGCUGGUAUGAAAGGUUUGACGAGGUGCUGACUGUCUCAUUUAAUUUGAAAUUAAAAUUUAACUUUUCAGUCAAAAGGCUGAAAUAAUAUUGGAAGACGAGAAGACCCUAUAGAGCUUUAUAUUUAAUUUAUUAAUAAUUUUUUGAGUAUUAAUUUUUAUUAUUAAUUUAAGUAUUUUGUUGGGGUGACAAAAAUAUAAAAUUAACUUUUUUAUCUAUUAAACAUUAAUUUAUGAUUAUUAGAUCCAAUCUUAUUGAUUGUUAGAAUAAGUUACCUUAGGGAUAACAGCGUAAUCUUCCUCCAGAGUUCAUAUUUACAGGAAGGCUUGCGACCUCGAUGUUGGAUUAAGAUAAUAAUUAGGUGUAGCCGCUUAAUAUAUAGGUCUGUUCGACCUUUAAAUUCUU